GACGGAAGGUGCAAGCGUUGCUCGGAAUCACUGGGCGUAAAGGGUGCGUAGGCGGCCGUGCAAGUCUGGCGUGAAAGCCCCGGGCUCAGCCCGGGAAGUGCGCUCGAAACUGCGCGGCUCGAGUGCCGGAGGGGAGAGUGGAAUUCCUGGUGUAGCGGUGAAAUGCGCAGAUAUCAGGAGGAACACCGGUGGCGAAGGCGGCGACCUGGUCCUUGACUGACGCUGAGGCGCGAAAGCGUGGGGAGCAAACAGG
rnacentral:rRNA from 1 species